GAGCUCGCUUGGGCAGCCCAUAUAUUAACAUUGGAACAAUACAGAGAUUAGCAUAGUCCCUGCGCAAGGAUGACGCACAAAUUCGUGAAGUGUUCCAUGUUUUU
ensembl:snRNA U6 U6 spliceosomal RNA